AAACCAACAGGGAUUGCCUCAGUAACGGCGAGUGAAGCGGCAAAAGCUCAAAUUUGAAAUCCUCCGGGAAUUGUAAUUUGAAGGUGGUCUCAGUUAGUUCAAACAUUCUUAAGUCCAUUGGAAAAUGGCGCCAUGGAGGGUGAUAGCCCCGUAAAGAAUCCGUUUUGUUCUAUUUUCUUUGACCACCAAAGAGUCGAGUUGUUUGGGAAUGCAGCUCUAAGUGGGUGGUAAAUUCCAUCUAAAGCUAAAUAUUGGCGAGAGACCGAUAGCGAACAAGUACAGUGAUGGAAAGAUGAAAAGCACUUUGAAAAGAGAGUGAAAAAGUACGUGAAAUUGUUGAAAGGGAAGGGCUUGCAAGCAGACACAACCUUUUGGUUGGGCCAGCAUCGGGGCGAGGGGAAGGAAAAAAGAAAAGGAAAUGUAACUCUCGAGUAUUAUAGACCUCUUCCAAAACUUCCAUCUCAUCCCGAGGCCUGCGGAUUCAUCCUAGGAUGCUGGCGUAAUGGUUGCAAGUCGC
rnacentral:rRNA from 1 species